UACGUAGGGUGCAAGCGUUAAUCGGAAUUACUGGGCGUAAAGCGUGCGCAGGCGGUUUUGUAAGUCUGUCGUGAAAUCCCCGGGCUCAACCUGGGAAUUGCGAUGGAGACUGCAAGGCUAGAAUCUGGCAGAGGGGGUAGAAUUCCACGUGUAGCAGUGAAAUGCGUAGAGAUGUGGAGGAACACCGAUGGCGAAGGCAGCCCCCUGGGUCAAGAUUGACGCUCAUGCACGAAAGGCGUG
rnacentral:rRNA from 1 species